rnacentral:lncRNA from 1 species
AUCACUAUAUCUACUUAUCAAUUAUGCAUGACAUUGUAAUGCAACCCAAUGAUAAAAUCAUAUGCAUAGUCUCGGAGCAUUUAAUCUUACUCAGCACGCUCAAUCACUCGGUAUUCAUAGUCAAUCAAAUCUCUCAAUCACUCGGCACUCAAUAGGUACAUGCGCUCACUGUUGGUAUGUCAGACUCCAGAGGGGCAGAUCCUGCCCAAGUGCUAAUAUAAGCCAAUCAUGACAUAAAUCAAUAAAGCUUGUUGUGAAGUGUAACCCGAUCCUAUAAAUAUGACUCACAAUCAGGCCUUAGGCCUCACUCAGUCAUCAAUUUCUUCAGUCUCUCGGGCACAAAAAUCUAUCACGAC